rnacentral:tRNA from 1 species
GUUCCUGUUGCUCAAUGGAAAGAGUAUCCUGUCGGAGUUACGGAGAUCGUAGGUUCAAUUCUUACCUGGAACU